rnacentral:rRNA from 1 species
GGUUGAUCCUGCCGGAGGUUACUGCUAUCGAGGUUCGACUAAGCCAUGCGAGUCGAAUGUAGCAAUACAUGGCGUACUGCUCAGUAACACGUGGACAACCUACCCUUUAGGUCUGGGAUAACCCCGGGAAACUGGGAAUAAUACCGGAUAUCUCGCGAAUGCUGGAAUGCGUCGCGAUAGAAAGCUCCGGCGCCUAAGGAUGGGUCUGCGGCCUAUCAGGGUAGUAGUGGGUGUAAUGUACCUACUAGCCUACGACGGGUACGGGUUGUGAGAGCAAGAGCCCGGAGAUGGAUUCUGAGACACGAAUCCAGGCCCUACGGGGUGCAGCAGGCGCGAAAACUUUACAAUGCCGGCAACGGCGAUAAGGGGACCUCGAGUGCCAGGAUACAAUCCUGGCUGUCGUAAUGCCUAAAAAGCAUUGCAUAGCAAGGGCCGGGCAAGACCGGUGCCAGCCGCCGCGGUAACACCGGCGGCUCGAGUGGUAACCGCUAUUAUUGGGUCUAAAGGGUCUGUAGCCGGCUGACUAAGUCUCUUGGGAAAUCUGGCAGCUUAACUGUCAGGCUUUCAGGAGAUACUGAUCGGCUCGAGACCGGGAGAGGUGAGAGGUACCUCAGGGGUAGGGGUGAAAUCUUGUAAUCCUUGAGGGACCACCAGUGGCGAAGGCGUCUCACCAGAACGGAUCUGACGGCAAGGGACGAAAGCUAGGGGCACGAACCGGAUUAGAUACCCGGGUAGUCCUAGCCGUAAACGAUACUCGCUAGGUGUCGGCCACGGUGCGACCGUGGUCGGUGCCGUAGGGAAGCCGUGAAGCGAGCCACCUGGGAAGUACGGCCGCAAGGCUGAAACUUAAAGGAAUUGGCGGGGGAGCACUACAACGGGUGGAGCUUGCGGUUUAAUUGGAUCAACGCCGGAAA